GGUUAAGCGACUAAGCGUACACGGUGGAUGCCCUGGCAGUCAGAGGCGAUGAAGGACGUGCUAAUCUGCGAAAAGCGCCGGCGAGGUGAUAUGAACCCUUGACCCGGCGAUGUCCGAAUGGGGAAACCCAGUGCAAUCCGUUGCACUAUCGUUAACUGAAUACAUAGGUUAACGAGGCGAACCGGGGGAACUGAAACAUCUAAGUACCCCGAGGAAAAGAAAUCAACCGAGAUUCCCCCAGUAGCGGCGAGCGAACGGGGAGCAGCCCAGAGUCUGAAUCAGCUUGUGUGUUAGUGGAAGCGUCUGGAAAGUCGCACGGUACAGG
rnacentral:rRNA from 1 species